GUUUAUUUAGUUUAAAUUAAAACUUUACAUUUUCACUGUAAUAAUGAAAAUUAUUAUUUUCUAUAAAUA
rnacentral:tRNA from 1 species